rnacentral:rRNA from 1 species
CACGUAGGGCGCGAGCGUUGUCCGGAAUUAUUGGGCGUAAAGAGCUCGUAGGCGGUCUGUCACGUCGGCUGUGAAAUCCCGAGGCUCAACCUCGGGUCUGCAGUCGAUACGGGCAAACUAGAGUAUUGCAGGGGAGACUGGAAUUCCUGGUGUAGCGGUGAAAUGCGCAGAUAUCAGGAGGAACACCGGUGGCGAAGGCGGGUCUCUGGGCAAUAACUGACGCUGAGGAGCGAAAGCGUGGGGAGCGAACAGG